rnacentral:lncRNA from 1 species
AAUUUAUUCCCUUUCUAUGUAAAGAAAACCAACAUUAAUGCUGAUGUCGAUAAAGAAAGAACUGUCUUUCAACAAAUAUAGAUUAGACUUUGGUAUAUUGUAAUAGCACUGUAUUGCCAUAAAAUGUUAGAGCUUAGGAUAAUUUUGAACACAUUAUUUUCCAGCUUCUCUCAUUUUUAGAGGCAUAGAGGAAUGAAGUAUUAGGGUGCCAGGUUAUAUAUAUAUAUUUUUUUUUUAAAGAUUUUAUUUUUUUUCUUUUUCUCCCCAAAGCCCCCUGGUACAUAGUUGUAUAUUCUUCGUUGUGGGUCCUUUUGUUGUGUCAUGUGGGACGCCGCCUCAGCGUGGUUCGACGAGCAGUGCCAUGUCCGUGCCCAGGAUUCGAACCAACGAAACACUGGGCCGCCUGCAGUGGAGCGCGCAAACUCAACCAUUUGGCCAUGGGGCCAACCCCGGUGCCAGGUUAUUCUGAUGGGAUCCAGAACUAAAUGAGAUAUAAACCUCAAACAGCAUUACCAUUUAUAAACAGUAACAAAUGAAGUUUGGCUAGAUCCAUGCUCACCUUUGUUGUAUAUAAAGGGGAAAGAAACUUCUUGAUGACACCUACUUUGUUCUUUGUGGACAGGUAGGUGAGUCAAUUAGAGCAUGUAUAAUAAGUAC